GAUGGACGCUGGCGGCGUGCUUAACACAUGCAAGUCGAGCGAGAGAGUUCUUCGGAACAAUCUAGCGGCGGACGGGUGAGUAACACGUGGGCAACCUGCCUCAUAGAGGGGAAUAGCCUUCCGAAAGGAAGAUUAAUACCGCAUAACAUCGUUGAAGGGCAUCCUUCGAUGUUCAAAGGAGCAAUCCGCUAUGAGAUGGGCCCGCGGCGCAUUAGCUAGUUGGUGAGGUAACGGCUCACCAAGGCGACGAUGCGUAGCCGACCUGAGAGGGUGAUCGGCCACAUUGGGACUGAGACACGGCCCAGACUCCUACGGGAGGCAGCAGUGGGGAAUAUUGCACAAUGGGGGAAACCCUGAUGCAGCAACGCCGCGUGAGUGAUGACGGCCUUCGGGUUGUAAAGCUCUGUCUUUGGGGACGAUAAUGACGGUACCCAAGGAGGAAGUCACGGCUAACUACGUGCCAGCCGCCGCCGUAA
rnacentral:rRNA from 1 species